GAUGAACGCUGGCGGCGUGCCUAAUACAUGCAAGUCGAGCGAACAGACGAGGAGCUUGCUCCUCUGACGUUAGCGGCGGACGGGUGAGUAACACGUGGAUAACCUCCCUAUAAGACUGGGAUAACUUCGGGAAACCGGAGCUAAUACCGGAUAAUAUAUUGAACCGCAUGGUUCAAUAGUGAAAGACGGUUUUGCUGUCACUUAUAGAUGGAUCCGCGCCGCAUUAGCUAGUUGGUAAGGUAACGGCUUACCAAGGCAACGAUGCGUAGCCGACCUGAGAGGGUGAUCGGCCACGCUGGAACUGAGACACGGUCCAGACUCCUACGGGAGGCAGCAGUAGGGAAUCUGGCGCAAUGGGCGAAAGCUUGACGGAGCAACGCCGCGUGAGUGAGGAAGGUCGUCGGAUCGUAAAACUCUGUUAUUAGGGAAGAACAAAUGUGUAAGUAACUAGGCACGUCUUGACGGUACCUAAUCAGAAAGCCACGGCUAAGUACGUG
rnacentral:rRNA from 1 species